GGAUGACAGCCACACUGGAACUGAGACACGGUCCAGACUCCUACGGGAGGCAGCAGUGGGGAAUAUUGCACAAUGGGGGAAACCCUGAUGCAGCAACGCCGCGUGGAGGAAGAAGCAUUUAGGUGUGUAAACUCCUUUUAUCAAGGAAGAAGAUGACGGUACUUGAUGAAUAAGCACCGGCUAACUCCGUGCCAGCAGCCGCGGUAAUACGGAGGGUGCAAGCGUUACUCGGAAUCACUGGGCGUAAAGCGCAUGUAGGCGGUUGUUUAAGUUAGAAGUGAAAGCCUACGGUCAACCGUGGAACAGCUUCUAAAACUGAAUGACUAGAGUCUGGGAGAGGAAGAUGGAAUUAGUAGUGUAGGGGUAAAAUCCGUAGAGAUUACUAGGGAAUACCGAAAGCGAAGGCGAUCUUCUGGAACAGGACUGACGCUGAGAUGCGAAAGCGUGGGGAGCAAACAGGAUUAGAUACCCUGGUAAGUCCACGCCCUAAACGAUGAAUGUUAGUCGUUGGAGUGCUAGCCACUUCAGUGAUGCAGCUAACGCAUUAAACAUUCCGCCUGGGGAGUACGGCCGCAAGGUUAAAACUCAAAGGAAUAGACGGGGACCCGCACAAGUGGUGGAGCAUGUGGUUUAAUUCGAAGAUACGCGAAGAACCUUACCUGGCCUUGACAUAUACCAGAACCUGCCAGAGAUGGUGGGGUGCCUUCGGGAACUGGUAUACAGGUGCUGCACGGCUGUCGUCAGCUCGUGUCGUGAGAUGUUGGGUUAAGUCCCGCAACGAGCGCAACCCUCGUGACUAGUUACUAACAGCAUAGGCUGAGGACUCUAGUCAGACUGCCUUCGUAAGGAGGAGGAAGGUGGGGACGACGUCAAGUCAUCAUGGCCCUUACGGCCAGGGCGACACACGUGCUACAAUGGGGAGGACAAUGAGAAGCGAAAUCGCGAGAUGGAGCAAAUCUAUAAACCUUCUCUCAGUUCGGAUUUGCAGUUUUGCAAACCUUCCGGAACCUUGCCAAUGGAAAGCCUGGGAAAUCAAUUAAGUAAAUCCGUGAAAUCCAGCCCAUGUCCACGGGUGAAUACGUUCCCGGGUCUUGUACUCACCGCCCGUCACACCAUGGGAGUUGAUUUCACCCGAAGCGGGGAUGCUAAAUAGGCUACCCGCCACGGUGGCAUUCAGCGACUGGGGUGAAGUCGUAACAAGGUAACCGUAGGAGAACCUGCGGCUG
rnacentral:rRNA from 1 species